rnacentral:rRNA from 1 species
UACGGGGGGGGCAAGCGUUGUUCGGAAUUACUGGGCGUAAAGGGCUCGUAGGUGGCCAACUAAGUCGGACGUGAAAUCCCUCGGCUUAACCGGGGAACUGCAUCCGAUACUGGAUGGCUUGAGUUCGGGAGAGGGAUGCGGAAUUCCAGGUGUAGCGGUGAAAUGCGUAGAUAUCUGGAGGAACACCGGUGGCGAAGGCGGCAUCCUGGACCGACACUGACGCUGAGGAGCGAAAGCCAGG